rnacentral:ncRNA from 1 species
AAGAUAGAGGCGCACCCGAAAAGAGUACCGCGGUAAACCGGCUGCCGGAGCCGCGCGGGAAAGGUGACGGUGCCGAAGCGGACGCUGUGGCGGGCGCCCUGCUGGCAUUGCGGAGAAGAUCCGUACUGCUGUCGCAGAAAUGCGGAGCGCUAUCGU